AGAACACAAUCUGGAAGUUUUGUCCUAGAGGAUCAGGUAAAACAAAAAGAGAAAAGAAAGAGAGGCAAAGAGACAGUUUUGAGGGGAAUAAAUUGCUUAUUUUCCUAUUAGCAUGCAUCUAAACUUCUUCCACUUACCUGAACAGAAAAUUAAUUCUGAAUUGCUUUGCAUAUUUAGUGUUUGGAGAUAUGUACUUUGCAUAAUGGAGACAUAAAGAAAAGGGCACUUUUAUGCCAAAGUGAUACCUCAAAAAAAUAAGGAUGCCAGACUAAUGCUUUUCUGCUUUCAAACUGCAUAUUUUCCUCUCCUGCUAGCCAGAAACACCAACAGAUAAGAGAAACAGGAAACCAAGGUAUGUGCUGUUCUGGAUUUUGUUUCUUUCAGGAAGCUUUAUAGAUGGUGAUAAAUUAAUUUUCAUUUUGUUACAUUAAUCUGCAAGGUGGGUAAUUAACCUCAACUGUUGUACAAAAACAAUGGAAUGGGGCCCAGAUAUUGAUUUGUGCCAUAUUUGAUUGUUAACGGCACAGUAAAUAAAUAGCAGCAAUAUCUGGCGCACAAAAAGUCAAGAAAGCCAGGCUGAUCCAUGGCAGUGGGGAAUCAAAAUCACUCAGAUCAUACCUUCAUUCAGUACCCCAUGCCGGCAUUUUUUACUCCUCCACCCCUCUGGUUUGGAUAACAUCUGGGUCAAUGAUGGUGAAUUUUAUGAACCCAAAAGCUUGUGAACUAUUUUUAGUUGGUCCAAAUAAAGAGAUUGCCUGUCUGUGGGUUUUGAAACAAUAUCGAGCAAGUGUGGCGCAUUCAAGCCACCUCACAAAACAAGCUGAGUACUUUCAUUCCAUACAUGCCAUCAUUUCCCGUGUUAUACGAAUUCUGAGGUCUUAUAUGUACAAACACAUAAGUAUAUAAACCAAAUGUCUGAAAUGUUAGAAUUCCUGCUCCAUGAUUUCAGUCAUGGGAUUGUUGUCUAUCACAUGAUGGUAUAUGUUUUGACUCCACAGAGUGGGAAGUGACAGAGACAGGAUGUUUGUAUUACCGUGUUCCAUGAAGUGGGACUAUUAUCCUUUGUUCUUUUUCUUUGCUGUCUGAUGCUAGAGAGAGAGGGAGCCACGUUGCGGUGCUCUGUGUGUGUUUAUAUGUAAAUAAAGUAGAUUAGCC